UCCAUCACUAUAGAUAAAAAGAAAAAAGCCAAUUCUACUAUGGUGCAGAACAUAACACUUUGAAAAAUGUUGUACAGCGUAUGAAGUUGUUUUACAAAAACAACAGUUUUGUCUCACUACUUAUCGUUUCCAUGUUGCUGUUGUUCCUGGCAGUGAUGGUAUGGGGACUUGGCAUGAAGACAAUUUUCAUACUAAAUCCAAAGCAACUCUUAAAUACUAGAUAGGAACUUCACAAUAAGUGACUGAGCAUUAUCAGCAUGACUAAUUGUAUUAUUCUAACUGAAUAGAUUUAAAAUCUAAGAGCCUAAACAUAUGUAUUAGUGGCCGAUUCAUUUUGUCACUGAAGUUCUCUUAAAAUAUAAGUAGCCUUCUGGGAUUAUUUUUGGCUUAAUGGAAAAUAUUCAAGCUCCUGGAAGAAAACAGAAGGGAUAAAUCAGAACAAGAACCUGGAGGUAUAUUGGUUCUAAUUAUUCUCCCAUGCUGGCGUGCAGACAUUUAGGACAAAGCAAAGGAGGAAAGCGACCAACCAACCACUAAUUUUCGAAACAAAAUGUGAGAGAAGUGAAGGGGUGCAAACACUUUCUGAAGGCACGGUAUUUGGAUAGGAAGAGACCGAG